UCAGCCGGUAGACGUUCCAAGAAUUAAUUUUGGCUCCAUGGUUGGGGUAAAGACCCCCUUCCUAAGCUGUUGAUCAUCAUCUGGGCCGUACGACACCUCGCAACAUCUAAGAAAACCAGACGUGUGUAAGGUGCAAUUUUCCUGCGCUGAGAUGCUCGACGGGCCCCACAAUGAUGUUUUCGGAGAAAUCCACCCCGUUCAUUGGAUUCCUAGCGAAAUUUCGGUUGGAAAGGAGUGGUUUUGGUAGAGUUUUGGUGCGGCCCACUGUAUUAACUCAAGCUGCUAUUCAUCCUGCGUUUUACAGCGAUCUGCGUGUGUACGCGUGCAUGAGACCAAAUGGUCACCAUGUCUAGGGUCGUGGCCACCCUUCGGGGCGAAUGGACGGUUUAGAUCGUCCAACAGAACGAUCAUGGUGGCCCACUGAGCACGCCCGGUCAGACAGCAUCUGCCCGCUAGCGGGUUUCCGAUUAAAAAAAAAACAAUCAGUUAGCGUGCGCUGACCGAUCUUAUGAUUUCCGGUGCACGGCUGGUGCGUGCACAUCGUGCACCCGCACCCCCUUAAGUGCGGUCCACUGUGGUGUUUAUGAGAAAUCUGCUUCGUCCAUCCGUUUUGCCCUCCCAUUUAAGGGGUUGAGACUAAAAUUGAAGUAUAUACAGAUAUCAAGUAGGCCCCAGAUCAGUGUUUUAUGGGUUGAUCUGUUCGUUGGGCCACUUUCACAAGGAUCUAAUGGCUGAAAUUCAAAGUGUACAGUUAAUUUAGGGUCCUCAGGCCAGAUAUAAAGUUUCGAGCCAAACGGAUGGUGGGAACCCUAUGAUCUUGCAUUCUGGACAAUUUUCAGGCCCUUUAAACUUCAAUCGCUGAGUUUUCUCGGAUCUUUGACUUGUAAAUUCUUGGAUCUUGAUCCCUUAAGAUCCUUCCCUUACCUUAGUGAUUUCUGAGCGUUGAAUCCAUGCUUUUAGUACCUUUUUCAGUCCAAGCUCCCUAGUUUCACCUUGCAACAAAAACAUGAUUAAACUAGGACAUUAAGCAUUAUCAUGUACGUAAAACCAAGUAAUAACUGGGGUCUAAUAUGCAAUAUUUGACCCUCAACACCAUCAUCGGAGGGGCUACAAUUUGAGCUAUGUUAUGUGCGAGGGUGGCCAAGGCCUCUCGAAGACUUCUGCAUUCUUCCAUUAAUGUUCUCUAUGCUUGGGCCAUUUCGGCUAUGCGGUCUUCGGUAGUCGGUAGUGGGCUUCCUUGACUUGUCCCUACCAUGCAUAUGGCGGCUUUUGCAUUUCCUGACGAAGCAAUCAUUGGAAUGGGGUAUGAGUUCAUUGGUAUGAUAGGGCUUAUUGGGAAAGUAGUUUUAUUUGAUUCUUCUAUACUUCCACAGACUUUAGUCGAUUGUGAUAUGACUUGUAAAAGUGUAUUUUGAGGCAAUAUGGAGGUUGAUGGACUUUUCAUCGGUGAUUUGCCUUUGUCUUUUCUUGUCUAUUGAGUAUUUGCGGUAGGAAGAGCCGGAAAAUCUUGUGAUAUCAUCGAAGGAAAGGAUUUUCCCGGAUACAAUUCUGGAGGAGCAAGUUCGGGGUUCUUUCUGGCUGCAUUUGUGUUAUCGAUCCUUUGAUUUUCUGUGGCGACGGACACAUCCUAGUAGUCAUGAUGUUUCAGAUUCUUGGUCUUUGGCAUGACACGACAAUUGUGCUAGUGGUGAAACAUUUUCGACUCCGGCCGUUGCUUUAGACUUGUCAUUUCUAGUCAACACAAGCUGCUUCUUAUUAGCCAGAGAUUGACCAUGGGCAUAUUCUAUCACAAAUCCCAUUCGCGUAAAACGAAAGAUUGUCUUGCUUGCGAUGGUUGCCAUUGAUUGUAGCUUGAACGUAUGCAUCAUAUUGUAAUUCUAUCAGAGAAAUCAAAACAAUAUCAAUUAGUAUUUAAUUAAGGAUGUACUUUAUUUUGGAGAUGAAAGGGAGGAUGUUCCCGUUGAGAGUCGCCCUUUUGGCGGUCUAUAAGACACCAAACUAUUAUAAUAUUCUGUGUAUUGUUUCUAAGUUAAUAUUAAGUAAGACAUCCCCAACAGAGGCGCCAUUUUGUUUCGACAAGAAACAAAUAGUGUUUGUUUUGGGAAUUAUCUCACUUAAUAAUAACAAAGAAGAAAUGCAGAGAAUAAUCGUCGCAUUUUAUUCAUUAUGGAUUCAUUUACAUCCUUUUAUCCUUUGAUUCCAAGAUAAAGUACUUAUGACAAAAGAAUACAAAUAUUGAUUGAGUUCAAUGUUAAUUUUGGCAGCAUUUCGGCUCAUAUCAUUCGAGUCUCCGUGGGAGAGGAGUUGGACGGAUCUUCCUUCAUUCAUAUGCCUUCAUGAAUAAUAUGAAGAGAUAUCACAAUACCCUGAAGAAAAGCCCUCAAAAUAACAUAUACAUGCCCCCCUUUUUAGAUCAUCCGCAUAACUCCUUAUUGAGUUGCGCGGGCCGAGGAGUCGCACGGUUUUGCCUCAUUGUCUUUCUUUCUCUCCUCUUCGAUACCUGUCAGAGGUAUUGAUCUUCUGAGAAAUCCGAUCCCUCAAAUGAAAGGGGAAGGGGGUAUUUAUAAGCUUUCACAUGUGUGAGGCAUCGAAUCUUGUGCCUUGGGACCCACCUCGCAUUCACUCCAAACGAAUAUGCGAAUAUCAUGUCGAUAAGUUGCGCGGAUUCGCGCAACUGUGAUGAGUUGCACGGAUCCGCGCAACUUGAUUCUAACCACAACUUGUUGCCCUGCACAACUCUUCACCCGCGCAAUUCGAAUUUUCUUCAAUUUCUUCUUUGGUUUCUAUCCUUCUUCACUUCUUUUCUUAAUCAAAUUUCAUGCUCCAACAAUAUUACCAAGAAAGUACGGAAGUUCUUGAUUUCAUAGGUCGUCUCGAUGCAAAGGCUUUUGUCGAUUGGAUUGCAACGUUGGAAGAUUAAUUUGCAUGGUAUGCCAUGGAUGAUGUCCUAUAAGCGGCCUUUGUCAAGGUCAAGUUAAAGGGCCCAGCAAGAAUCUAGUGGCGAAGCAUUGACUAUAACAAUCUCAUCAUGGGUUGUCCUGCUAUCAUCAGGUGGGUUGACAUGUGGGAGAAGCUGGAAAAUAAGUAUUUACCUUUAGAUUACAUGGAUAUUCCUCUCUAGGAGCUUCUUGCGUUCAAACAGGGUAUUUUAUUGGUAGAUGACUACAUCGAAAAGUUCAUUGAGCUUUCUGUCCAUCGUAAGCUUACAGAGAUAGACCACGUAACAACUAACCGCUAUUGUGUAGGGUUACGCUAAGAGAUUCAGCGCGACAUGGUCAUGUAUGAUUUCGAGACAGUUGAUUAUGUUCAUCGGAAGACUCGACGAGUUGAGCAACAAGUGCAUCAACAAACUAUCCGACACUUUGGUUCUCUAGUCGGGGAACCUUCUGUGAGAAAAGGUUUAGAUCCACAUCUCAAUCAAACUCCACCAAAGGGGUACCAACCGCCUCCCCACCCUUUUCAACUGCGCCCACAGAUGCAGACUCCUCUUAUUUGGUAGCCUCAACCUUUACAACGCCAUCCACUACAAAAUUCGUACCAAAAGCAACCAACGGUGCAGGGACAUGACACCAGGGCACGAGGUAUUAAUCUUAAUCCUUCUUUCAGAAGAGAACAAGAGAGUGUUGACUAUUACCGUUGCGGACAGAUAUGUCACUUUUUUAAUCACUGUCUGCAAGCCAGGAACCUCCAUUAUUGCGGUAAUGAGGACACCUACUCAGACGGCCAUGAGUAUUACGAUGAGCACAUCGAGAUAGAACAACCUUAUGUAGAACCUGCAUCACAGCCAGAUGAUCCUCCUACUGAAACUGCGGUUGAAGUUGGGGAUGAAGGCUCUACUCUUAUCAUACGCCGCCUCCUUACUACCACCAAGGAGGAAGAAGAAUACUGGCGGUGGACCACUGUUUUCUAUACGCGGGUAAAAUACCAAGGCAGAUUAUGUACCAUGAUCAUCGAUAGCGACAAUGCAAUGAACAUCGUAUCUCGAGAGGUAACUGAUAAGCUUAAGUUGCCAAUUGAAAGGCAUCCAAAACCAUACAAGGUUGCAUUGGUCGACGACACUACCAUCACCGUGACUCGAAGGUGUUUGCUAUCAUUUAAAAUUGGCAUAUACGAGGAUGAUAUUUGGUGUGACAUAAUUCCGAUGAAUGUCACUCGCAUCCUUCUCGAUUGACCUUGGCUCUUUGAUUGAAAAUUACAAAGCGAUGGUGAAGCUAACACGCAUACUUUCCUAUGGUGGUCCAAAUCCAUAACAAAGGUUUCCAACUAAAACCUUUGGUGAAUCAAAAUGGUAUGGGUCCUUGGGAGUGUAUUUAUGACUUCAUACAACGGCUCUUUGCAGAAGAGCCCAUGACACUGUGAUAGAGACGCCCCAGAAUGAUGAUAUUACCAAGAAAGUAUGGGUUGAAGUUAGUGAUUUCACAGGUCGUCUUGAUGCUAAGGCUUUUGUCGAUUGGAUUACAACAUUGGAAAAUUAAUUUGCAUGGUAUGACAUGGAUGAUUUCCUGCAAGUGGCCUUUGUCAAGGGUGGCCUUUGUCAAGGUCAAGUUGAAGGGCCCAAGAAGAAUUUGGUGGCGAAGCAUUGACUACAACAAUCUCAUCUUGGGUCGUCCUGCUAUCACUAGGUGGGUUGACAUGAGGGAGAAGCUGGAAAGUAAGUAUUUACCUUCAUAUUACAUGGAUAUUCUUCUUUAGGAGCUCGUUGCGUUCAAACAUGGAACUUUAUCGAUAGAUGACUGCACCGAAAAGUUCAUUGAGCUUCCUGAGGAGAGAGGGAGAGCGGUAGUUGCAGAAGAGAGAUUGCAGAGAGGCAGAGAGAGAUUGCAGAGAGGGAGAAAGAGAGACAGAUUGCAAAGCUUAAUGGUGGUUGGUGGGUUGGUGCAUUUCUCCCCCUUCCCCUCGUUUUAAAAAUCCGAUCCUUGUGCCUGUAAGUGACUUACAGGGAAGUGACUUCUCACCCCCAUCCCCCUGUAGUUUUUUGGUAGAUUUGCUUGUAAGUGACUUACAGGCUACAAGUUACUUACAGGUGAAUUUUAUGUCCCAAACACCACCUGUAAGUGACUUCCCUGUAAGUGACUUCCCACUUACCCAACUUAUAGGCAUCCAAACAGGCCUCAAGUCUUAUCUUCAAAAUCCUUCAUCGCGAGCGCUUGUACAUCAACUUUAAAAAGUGUACUUUUAUGAGUACAGCAGUGGUCUUCUUAGGGUAUAUUGUCUCGUCAUAAGGUAGGUGGACCCCGCCAAGGUGAAAGUCAUUGUUGAUUGGCCGACACCUACACCUAUCUCUAAAGUUCGCAGUUUUCAUGGCCUCGCUACUUUUUAUAGACUUUUGGUGCAGAACUCCAGAAACAUCAUGGCUCCGAUCACUGAUUGUAUUAAACAAAGGGAGUUUAGAUGGACAAGUGCAACAAUACGAGCGUUUGAUAGGAUCAAACAUAAGAUGAUUGAAACUCCAGUCUUGCGCCUUCUGGACUUUGAGAAGGUAUUUGAGGUGAGUUGUGAUGCUUCCAACAUCGGCAUUGGUGGGGUUUUCAGUCAAGUGGGCUAUCCAAUAACUUUCUUUAGCGAAAAAUUCUUUGAUGCGAAGCAACAAUACUCUUUUGGCUUUCAGUUUUAUGUUGUUGUUCAUACUUUACGACUUUGGUGUCACUAUUUAGUUGGCAAGGAGUUUAUCCUAUAUUUUGAUGAUGAAGUACUCAUAUACCUAAACUCUCAACAGAAGAUGAAUGCUCAUUGUGUUAAGUGAAGCGCUUACCUUCAGGAGUUUUCUUUUGUCAUUCGUCAUAAGGUUGGAAAGGACAAUCAGGUUGUUGAUACAUAAACCCAUCACGCACAUCUAUUGUCAUCGAUGAUGGUCAUUGUUCCAAGAUUCGAUGAAAUACGGCAUCUGCUAAUGACAAGGAUUUCAGACGUAUUUAUACAAGCGUUUUUAAUG